rnacentral:rRNA from 1 species
CGGUGGCUAAUACCGCCAUGAGCCGAAAGGUAAAAAAUUUAUUGCCCACAGAUGAGCUCGCGUCUGAUUACCUAGUUGGUAAGGUAAAAGCGUACCACGGCGACGAUCAGCAGCUGGUCUGAGAGGAUGAGCAGCCACCCUGGGACUGAGACACGGCCCACACUCCUACGGGAGGCAGCAGUGGGGAAUUUUCCGCAAUGGGCGAAAGCCUGACGGAGCAAGACCGCCUGGGGGAGGAAGGUUUUUGGAUCGUAAACCCCUUUUGUCAAGGAAGAAGUUCUGACGGCACUUGACGAAUAAGCCUCGGCUAACUCCGUGCCAGCAGCCGCGGUAAUACGGAGGAGGCAAGCGUUAUCCGCAAUGAUUGGGCGUAAAGCGUCUGUAGGUGGCCAGCUAAGUCUGCUGUUAAAGAUCACAGCUCAACUGUGGGAAGGCAGUGGAAACUGGCAAGCUAGAGGCUGGUAGGGGUAAAGGGAAUUCUCGGUGUAGCGGUGAAAUGCGUAGAUAUCGGGAAGAACACCGG